rnacentral:lncRNA from 1 species
ACUUCGGAAUGUGGACAGAUCACGUCCUCAAAUAACGCUUCGCAGAGACCAUUCUAAUUUUUAAUCUCGUUUGCUUUACAAUUUCGAUUCACGGCAUUACCCAAAUAACGAAGUGAAAUUUAGAAUUUCUUGGAUGGUCUUAGAUUCCGCCAUAAAGGAGAACUCAAAAUGACGAGAGUAGCACCUGCCGGCAUCUCAGGAGCUGAUAAUCGCACGGACGAUUUCAUAGCGUGCUGUGGUUUCCUUUGGGAAUGUAUGAAGUUCAUAUCAACUUGCUUCGAAUUCUUCAGCUGUAUUACAGGUUGCUGUGGUUGAAGCUGUGGCUGCUAGAAAAAGGUUUUGUUGUCUUGCUUCCGUAGUUAUCAGUAUUUGAUGGGGUGCAUUACCAUUGACGACUGUGAUAGAUUUUUGUGUUGUUGUCUGAGUGUCUUAUGAAUAGGUCUGACUGUAAACUGGAAUUCAUAGGCAAAUGAGUGUCUCAAAAGUAGAUAUGUUUCUAAACCGAGAUAACAUAAACAUAUGGAUCACAAAGAAGUCACCCUACAAUCCUGGCCAAAAGACUUAAAACACUUACUUUCACGUGGGUCAACUUUAUUACCAGUAAAUGAUCAUUUUUUUACUACUUUCUAUGCCAUCUGUUCCAAAACAAUAUUCGGACUUGGGUCGAGUCAACUGACGCCCACAGGGACAACAUUUUAAGGGGCGGGGGAGGGGAAGGGAUUUGAAUUACAGUUGACUCCUUGUUAGUCGAACUAUCGCUAACUCGAAUCUCGCCCUAACUCGCACCAAAAUUGAUUCCCCUGGAUUAGCCCGUUACAUUUACUGUAAUUGUACUCGAACCCCUUUGCUUAAGUGCAGAACAGUACUCUUUUACGAUCUUUUGUCCCAUUUUGUUAGCAAAAUAUCAUUUCGUUUUUAAGUUUGUAUUCGUAAUGACCCUAACUAAAUACAUUGUUUGAAGACUAAUCAAAAAUGUGCGUAAAACAUUGUUUCCCUGCUAAUUUUUAGCCAUUUCUGUCAUUUCUAACAAUACUUAAAAGUUUUAACAUUUGUUUUGACGGUUCUAGUUAACAGAAGUCAACUGCUAUUGUACACGUUGAAAGCGAAGACUUGACAAGACUUGUGGCGAGGAUUGUAGCUUGUAAAAACACACAUAUACUACCUUGUACUGCAAAGGUUUUUUUUACUGCACGGUAUUCUAGAGAAUAGCUGAUGUUCACAUAACAAUAAAGAGCCUCAGUUCAAUGUAACUUUGUUUUACAUUCGCUAAUUCACAUUUGUAAUCAAGCUAUGCCGGUUUGGAAUAAACUUAGUCUGGAAGUAGA